rnacentral:rRNA from 1 species
GGCCUCAAUGCUAAUAGUAUUGAGGAUUGACGUUACCCACAGAAGAAGCACCGGCUAACUCUGUGCCAGCAGCCGCGGUAAUACAGAGGGUGCAAGCGUUAAUCGGAAUUACUGGGCGUAAAGGGUGCGUAGGUGGUUUUUAAGUCAGAUGUGAAAUCCCUGGGCUCAACCUAGGAAUUGCAUUUGAUACUGAAUAACUUGAGUAUGGUAGAGGGAAGUGGAAUUUCCAGUGUAGCGGUGAAAUGCGUAGAUAUUGGAAGGAACAUCAGUGGCGAAGGCGACUUCCUGGACCAUUACUGACACUGAGGCACGAAAGCGUGGGGAGCGAACAGGAUUAGAUACCCUGGUAGUCCACGCCGUAAACGAUGAGAACUAGAUGUUAGGGGGCUUAGACCUCUUAGUAUCGCAGCAAACGCGUUAAGUUCUCCGCCUGGGGAGUACGGCCGCAAGGUUAAAACUCAAAUGAAUUGAC